GAUGAAGAACGUAGCGAAAUGCGAUAAGUAAUGUGAAUUGCAGAAUUCAGUGAAUCAUCGAAUCUUUGAACGCACAUUGCGCCCGCCAGCAUUCUGGCGGGCAUGCCUGUUCGAGCGUCAUUUCAACCCUCGACUUCCCUUUGGGGAAGUCGGCGUUGGGGACCGGCCGUAUACCGCCGGCCCCGAAAUGAAGUGGCGGCCCGUCCGCGGCGACCUCUGCGUAGUAAUCCAACUCGCACCGGAACCCCGACGUGCCCACGCCGUAAAACCCCCGACUUCUGAACGUUGACCUCGGAUCAGGUAGGAAUACCCGCUGAACUUAAGCAUAUCAAUAAGCGGAGGA
rnacentral:misc_RNA from 1 species